UACGUAGGGUGCAAGCGUUGUCCGGAAUUAUUGGGCGUAAAGAGCUCGUAGGCGGUUUGUUGCGUCGGCUGUGAAAUCCCGAGGCUCAACCUCGGGUCUGCAGUCGAUACGAGCAAACUAGAGUGUUGCAGGGGAGACUGGAAUUCCUGGUGUAGCGGUGAAAUGCGUAGAUAUCAGAAGGAACAUCAGUGGCGAAGGCGGCUUCCUGGACCAAUACUGACGAUCAGGUGCGAAAGCGUGGGGAGCAAACAGG
rnacentral:rRNA from 1 species